rnacentral:rRNA from 1 species
CGCUCUUCGUAAAGGGUUCUGAUAUAUGAGGAGUCCUGCCUGCCCAGUGACUUUUAGUUAAACGGCCGCGGUAUUUUGACCGUGCAAAGGUAGCAUAAUCAUUUGCCUCUUAAAUAGAGGCUGGUAUGAAUGGCAAGACGGGGGUUUAACUGUCUCUCUCUUAAGGGGUAGUUGAAUUUAAUUUCUUUGUGAAGAAGCAAAGAUUAGGUCGUAGGACGAGAAGACCCUGUCGAGCUUAAAUAAUGGCAGCAAGUACUGGAAGUAUUGUUAUACUAAUUUUCGUUUUAUCUAGGGCGGUUGUUUUUAUGUAAGGUAUGAGUGUGCUGUGCUGUUUUUGUUUUGAUUGGGGCAAUCGCGGAGAAAAUAUAGCCUCCGUUAUAAAGUUAAUAUUUUAAAGUAACCUCUUUGCAAUGUAUCUUAUACAUAUUUUAGAUCCACAUUUAGUGAGCAAAGGAACAAGUUACCGCAGGGAUAACAGCGUAAUUUUUUUGGAGAGUUCAUAUUGAUAAAAAAGUUUGCGACCUCGAUGUUGGAUCGGGAUGUCCAGGAGAUGCAGCAGUUUCCAAGGGUUGGUCUGUUCGACCAUUAAAAUCCU